rfam:Oryza barthii chromosome 5, whole genome shotgun sequence.
NNNNNGUGCAGUUUUGCACUAUUCACGUUCAACGUUUCACCGUUCGUCUUAUUUGAAAAUUUUUAUGAUUUAGAUUUUACUUGCUAUUAGAUGAUAAAACAUGAAUAGUACUUUAUGUGUGACUAAAUAGUUUUUAAAUAAGACGGACGGUCAAAUGUUGGGCACGGAUAUCCACGGCUGCACUUAUU